rnacentral:rRNA from 1 species
UACGAAGGGGGCUAGCGUUGCUCGGAAUUACUGGGCGUAAAGGGCGCGUAGGCGGAUAUUUAAGUUGGGUGUGAAAUCCCGGGGCUCAACCUCGGAAUUGCCUUCAAAACUGGAUAUCUUGAGUUCGGGAGAGGUGAGUGGAACUCCGAGUGUAGAGGUGAAAUUCGUAGAUAUUCGGAAGAACACCAGUGGCGAAGGCGACUCACUGGCCCGAUACUGACGCUGAGGCGCGAAAGCGUGGGGAGCAAACAGG